CAAGCCCACAAAGUUUUCCGCUUCUACUUUCAGAAUUUCAUCAUCAGCCUACAUAAUUCUGUAUGUAAUGAACACACAGGCCAAAGUAAGCCUUUCUUUUCUGGUGUUCUUCACAAAUGCUUCCCUACUCUGAGAUUUUCUGUAGAGCAGCACCUUAGCAGAAGUUAAAAGCCUUUAAUAUUCAACAAGUAGCCCCGGUAGCUCCAGGCUGCAGGCCAAAUAUCUCUACUUUACUCUCUCUAUGUUGACCAGUGACUGCUUCCCAUGUACCACUCCCAUCUAUCUUAUUUCUCUUUCAGUGCAUUGUACAUGAUAUUGUGUCUCCCAUUCAAAAAAACUGUUCCAUUUCUGCUUUCUCUUUCACUACUGCUAAGAUCAAUAACUAUCCUGUCUUAUGUUUUACCUAAACAACUUCAGUCUUAUAAUUUAUCUUGCAGUUCUUGCUUCCUCCCACAGCACCUCAGUGAAAAUGCUCCCAGUGUGCAUCUGUUGUUUCGGUGUUUUUUCUCCAUCGUACUAGUUGCUGUGUUAGUAAAGCUCAAGGCAAGCUUCAGUCUUUGUCCUGCUUGUGAGAGCCAGAUAACUACUUCAAGAACUGGACAUCAAAUCCUGUUUUUCUUCCAGAGCCUGAUUUGUUCUCAGGAAAACAAGAAUUUUCACUUCUCAAGUACUGCGCCUAGGACUUGAAGAAUGCUUCAAAAUCAGCAAUGUUCCUUCAACAGAAGGGCUGGCAUCAUGUGGUGUGUUUUCUGAAGCAAAGAACCCCUACAGCAUUCACUUGUGCUUGAGCUACCAUUCAUUUCAGACCUUGCACAUCUGUUUCUGGGUCUUUUUGAAAGCACUGGAAAGGAAAAGCUUGAAAGAAAGCACUCUUUCACAG
rnacentral:lncRNA from 1 species